ACAAACUUGGUCAUUUAGAGGAAGUAAAAGUCGUAACAAGGUUUCCGUAGGUGAACCUGCGGAAGGAUCAUUAUCGAAUACUACUUGAUGGGUUGUCGCUGGCCUCUAGGGGCAUGUGCACGCCUGUCUUAGUUCUAUUCAUCCACCUGUGCACUAACUGUAGUCUUUGAGGGCUGAGAAUGGGCUUGUACUUUAUCAGUUGAAAAACUGGAUGGGAGAAUUGCCUGUAUGGGGCUUUCCUCAGCAAGAGUUCAUGACCUCCCUUGGAGUCUAUGUCUUUAUAAACCACAUUAGUAUGAUGCAGAAUGUAUUCAUAAAGGCCUCGUGCCUAUAAAACACUAUACAACUUUCAGCAACGGAUCUCUUGGCUCUCGCAUCGAUGAAGAACGCAGC
rnacentral:misc_RNA from 1 species